UGACCUCGGAUCAGGUAGGGAUACCCGCUGAAUUAGCAUAUCAAUAAGCGGAGGA
rnacentral:rRNA from 1 species